rnacentral:tRNA from 1 species
UGGGGUAUAGCUCAGUGGUAGAGCACGUGCUUAGCAUGCAUUAAGUCUUCAGUUCAACCCCCAGUACCUCCA